rnacentral:snRNA from 1 species
AAAAUUUUUCGAAAGAAAAAAAAAAUCUGUUCUUAUCAGUUUAAUAUCUGAUACGUCCCCUACCCGGGGACUACAUAUUAAAUUGAUUUUUGGAUCACGGAGCUGGAGCCGGGGCUUGCUCUGUCCACUCCACGCAUCGGCCUGGUAUUGCAGUGUUUCCAGGAACGGUGUGCUUCCC